CAUCACCGCCUGCUCUACUAGGGAAGGAUCCCCUUUUCUGCAAAGCCCGCGACUUGCCGGCGGCACUCAUGUCCUGGAGGGAAUUGGGGCUCGAUCUGGAGGCAUGGAAGAUCCUCGAGCUCCUCCUCCAGAGCCCGAACGGCUCCUGCAGAAGUCGACGGCAUGGGGAAGACGAAGACUUGCUCCAGCCACAUGCCACUGCCCUGUGCUCGUCUUGCCUCUGCCGUUCCCCUCCUCGAGCUGGCGGACUGAUGAUGGAGGACCCGCCCUCUUCGCUUCACCGGCGCCGCCGCUGCAGCUGAUGCUGCCCGCUGCCCACUCGCCGGCAGCCGAUUGAAGGAGGACUUGGUGAAGAGGAAUGGAGUACGAGUACGGAUGCUGCUUCCGUUGAUCCCAGGUGAGCUUUUAGAAGAGAAUCAGACCUUUUAGCAAGGAAUUGCAUUGCAUUUGGUUUAGUAGCAAAUGGAAUCUAUGGUGAAUGGAGUAUUUCUGAACACAUUAGUGAGUUGGAUAUCACAUUGGAGUAGAAAGAAAUAAAGAAAUGCAUGGCAUCAUGGACACAUUAGUGAGCCAGUGUCAGUAAAAGUUCAGACAUGGAGUAGUAAGUGAGCUAGUGCUGUUCAUCUAAAUGUUCAGAAAUGCUCAGAAAAAGUUCAGGAAAAGUCCAGAAAUCCACAUAAACAUCAUAUUCAAAUGCAUCUUAUCUCAUGUCAUAAAACUGCUGGCUCAGUGCAUGUGUGGACACUUUUUUUUUGCUAAAUGCAGAAUGGAUGUUAAAUUCAGUUGUAGAAUGAACAGUGGCCAAACUAGAAUGAACUUUACAUGGAGUAAUUUUUCUUAUCUGGAGGCAGGGUUCUCUAUAAUAAUGGAACUCACAAGUGGCCAUAAAAAAGUGAACAGCAAAAUGCACUUGUUUCGAAUAAUCAUACACUUGCUCUAAAAUUGCUUCAAAUGAUCAUUAGGAUGUUUAAAGAAACAGUGUUUAAAGAAUUUUUAAAGUAACAAGAGCAAAGUAUUGUACUCUUGUUGGCCCCAGUUUCUGUUCUAAGUAACAAGAGGAAUGAUUUUGAUUUUUGACUCUGACAGUGAAUUUGACUCUAUCAAUUAACUGAACCUGACAAUGGACUUGACUCUGUAUCAAUUAAACUCGAUUUUUUGUUGGCAAUGGAAUAAUUAAACAUACAUGCUCACGCAUUGCAUCUAGAUUCCUGUUACCCAUUUCUGGUCUCCAAGGAGCUUGACGAUCACCUCACGACCCUCCGUUUGAACGUCGUCCUACUGGCUGAAGAUAUCUGUAUGUUGAUCACUGCCCUUUGCCUGCCGUGGAUUACUUGACUAGUGAUGAGUGAGUAGUAAGAAUUAGGUCCCAUGUUAUUUUUCUGAACUGUUGAUUUUUCUCUGAAGAUCAUGGGGCUAUGUCGGCUGUCUCUGAAUUGAAACGCGCCCUCGAGGAGUACCUGCCUGUUGUUCUUGGUUUAACAGAGAAAGUCUAAACUCUAGGCUAUCCCUUUUGCGAUAUAAGACUUGGUCCUUGAUGUUUGACACCCACUUUUAGCUUCUCUAAGAAUUAUACUGAUGUUUGCACCUUAAUUAUAUCCAGGGACCGAUUUUCACUUGGACUGCAUCGGGUAAAAUUGAUUGAAGAAAGCAACUAAGACGUCAGAGAAUAUAUUGUUGUAUAUAUAAACUGAAUACUGGUGUACUGUCAAUAUUCAGUAGCAGAAAUUAAACUUCAGAGUAUAUUGUACUGUCAACAUUCAGAAUCAGAAAUUCAGUGUUGUACCGCUAAAACUAUACUGGUUCCUCUUUUCUGUGCAAUAAAACUGUACCAUUGUUUGAUGAAUCAUGGUUGAUUCAAUUUGCUCUACAUUUACUGAAAAUAAACUUGGCCAUUAUUUAUUGAAAAUAAAACCGGAUCAUUCACUUAAACUACUCAUGAAACAUUUUGCUCUACAUUUCAGUUUGAUGUACUGCAAUUUGAUCUACUGAAAUUCAGUUUGAUUAAGUUUGCUAUACUGUGCUCAGGUACUACCCUCUGUCCAACAUCAUGGAUAUACCAGUAUAUUGAUCUACUCCAAGCAAGCAAGGUACACGGUGCAAUGUAAAGAAAUUGUGUUCGAAAUUGUAGCUUCUGGAGCACAUUUUCUCACCGGCAGCAGCGCAAUUAGGAGCUUGAGCAAGGUACAGGGCCGAGCCCUGCACUUCUUCUGGGAGUGCUUGCAGAGGAGAUACUGGGAGCAAGGUACAGGUCUGGUACUGGAGAUGAAAAAGCAAGGAGCCCUGUACUUCUUCUCACCGGCAGCAGCAUGAGCAGCGGACAUCUGGUGAAAGCACACGAGCAGGGGAGGAGCAGCAACUUGCGGAGGAGCAGCAAAAGGAGCUCGAGCUUGAGGGAGCUCGAGGUCCAGGCGCUCGAGACCCUGGCGCGUGCAGGUCCUGGGCGGCGGCGGUGCAGGUCGUGGUCGGACGGAGGGAGUAGUACACUGGUAAACCUGUAUGCUGACACUACGUCUAUUAUGUGCCGUACUUGAACUACUGGAUUGUUGAAUGAUUUGCAAAAUGCGUCCCUGGUCUCUUGUGGUAUACUGCUCGUUUAAGCUUGUGUGCUCUGUGCAUGAAAUGUUCAGUUACGGCUGCCUUCUCCACAUGCCAGAUCCUGGUGCUAUUGAGCCCUUGGGUUUGUGAGUUUAGGUUUGGGAAAAAUAAACAAAUUGUGGACAUCCAUGCCUUUGUUCAGCCUUCAAUUUGCUGAACUGUUGUACAAGUAGUAUAUCCAGUUAGUUUUGUCUUCUCAUACUAGUGGGGUUGUAGAAACAACA